rnacentral:rRNA from 1 species
UACGUAGGGUGCAAGCGUUAAUCGGAAUUACUGGGCGUAAAGCGUGCGCAGGCGGCUUUGCAAGACAGAUGUGAAAUCCCCGGGCUUAACCUGGGAACUGCAUUUGUGACUGCAUGGCUGGAGUGCGGCAGAGGGGGAUGGAAUUCCGCGUGUAGCAGUGAAAUGCGUAGAUAUGCGGAGGAACACCGAUGGCGAAGGCAAUCCCCUGGGCCUGCACUGACACCCAUGCACGAAAGCGUGGGGAGCAAACAGG